ACGUGAGUCGCGCCAGAAAAAAAGUUGCCGUGCGACAGGCUGAGCCUCUGACAGUUCCAGCCCAAGAAGAACGUCGCAGAACUUCUCUACCCAUCACUUGUUUUCCUCCUCAUUCCCAAGCUCAAGAAGGUCAUUUAGGGGACCCGUUUUGAAGACGAUCAAGAUGGCUGUGAGGAUGGAGCUGCACUGAAUUCCGGAAGAAUCCUUCCAGCGGUGCACGAAGGGUUGGCAACCGAAAGCAAAAUCGCUCGACUGCGAAAACCGAGUCGACCCCGGAGGAGCUCCGUGGUCUCUGGACGGACGCUUGCGGUCGGACGCUUGGACCCCGCACCGCCGCGGAGGACGGAGUGCGAUAACCUUGGACGGAGCCGGAUGGAACGGCGCACCGCGAUCGUUUGUUUGUGGCCGCCGAUAAAAUGCUAAUCGCUGGGGUUCACCGAUUCUUUGACGUGAGCGCUGGAGUCGAAAAGGGGGGAAUUUUUUGGAAGCGGAAUAUGAAACAGAUUGAAAAAUUGGCAAAUGACAACGAGCCGCCAUCUGAGUUGCUUCUAAUAGCUGAUGACGUUGGGAUUUUUUCCGUCAGUAUUAAGUGAGAGAGUCAGACAAUGGUGACAAAAUUAAAAAAAAAAAAAGUAUUAGUAUUAGGAAAGUUAAAGUACAAUAAAAUCAUGCAGACAGACAAAAAAAAUAGUUCCAUGUAACUCAUGUAAGAAAGCUGCAGUAAGAGUCAUUUUUCACAAAGGAUAAUGAGUACAGUAUAUGCCUGAUUAUUGUUAUGUUGUCUGUCUACAUGUUGCUGCACUGUUUGUGUUCAAAAUUAGAGCACCAUCACAUAGAUGCUAUUCAUUCCCAUCUUUGGCGUUUUCUAUUAAGCGUAAGCAUUAAGCUAUCAGAUUUGAAAGCAAAGUCAUGUAUUUGUUGUAACUGCACAAAGUUUUAAAAAUUGGAUUUGUUCUCUAUCUGCCAAACGGCUGCUUGUUGUGAAGGGCGUGGAGACCGUGGAUUGAAGACAGCGCUCACAUCUGACGUUUCUGCUCUCAAGUCAGUG